rnacentral:rRNA from 1 species
GAGCGGCGUACGGGUGCGGAACACGUGUGCAACCUGCCUUUAUCAGGGGGAUAGCCUUUCGAAAGGAAGAUUAAUACCCCAUAAUAUAUUUGUCGGCAUCGAUGGAUAUUGAAAACUCCGGUGGAUAGAGAUGGGCACGCGCAAGAUUAGAUAGUUGGUGAGGUAACGGCUCACCAAGUCUGCGAUCUUUAGGGGGCCUGAGAGGGUGAUCCCCCACACUGGUACUGAGACACGGACCAGACUCCUACGGGAGGCAGCAGUGAGGAAUAUUGGACAAUGGGUGCGAGCCUGAUCCAGCCAUCCCGCGUGAAGGACGACGGCCCUAUGGGUUGUAAACUUCUUUUGUAUAGGGAUAAACCUAGAUACGUGUAUCUAGCUGAAGGUACUAUACGAAUAAGCACCGGCUAACUCCGUGCCAGCAGCCGCGGUAAUACGGAGGGUGCAAGCGUUAUCCGGAUUUAUUGGGUUUAAAGGGUCCGUAGGCGGAUCUGUAAGUCAGUGGUGAAAUCUCACAGCUUAACUGUGAAACUGCCAUUGAUACUGCAGGUCUUGAGUGUUGUUGAAGUAGCUGGAAUAAGUAGUGUAGCGGUGAAAUGCAUAGAUAUUACUUAGAACACCAAUUGCGAAGGCAGGUUACUAAGCAACAACUGACGCUGAUGGACGAAAGCGUGGGGAGCGAACAGGAUUAGAUACCCUGGUAGUCCACGCCGUAAACGAUGCUAACUCGUUUUUGGAGCGCAAGCUUCAGAGACUAAGCGAAAGUGAUAAGUUAGCCACCUGGGGAGUACGAACGCAAGUUUGAAACUCAAAGGAAUUGACGGGGGCCCGCACAAGCGGUGGAUUAUGUGGUUUAAUUCGAUGAUACGCGAGGAACCUUACCAAGGCUUAAAUGGGAAAUGACAGGUUUAGAAAUAGACUUUUCUUCGGACAUUUUUCAAGGUGCUGCAUGGUUGUCGUCAGCUCGUGCCGUGAGGUGUUAGGUUAAGUCCUGCAACGAGCGCAACCCCUGUCACUAGUUGCCAUCAUUAAGUUGGGGACUCUAGUGAGACUGCCUACGCAAGUAGAGAGGAAGGUGGGGAUGACGUCAAAUCAUCACGGCCCUUACGCCUUGGGCCACACACGUAAUACAAUGGCCGGUACAGAGGGCAGCUACACUGCGAAGUGAUGCAAAUCUCGAAAGCCGGUCUCAGUUCGGAUUGGAGUCUGCAACUCGACUCUAUGAAGCUGGAAUCGCUAGUAAUCGCGCAUCAGCCAUGGCGCGGUGAAUACGUUCCCGGGCCUUGUACACACCGCCCGUCAAGCCAGGAAGUCUGGGGUACCUGAAG